rnacentral:rRNA from 1 species
CGUGGGUAACCUGCCCAAGAGAUCGGGAUAACACCUGGAAACAGAUGCUAAUACCGGGUAACAACAGAUGAUGCCUAUCAACUGUUUAAAAGAUGGUUCUGCUAUCACUCUUGGAUGGACCUGCGGUGCAUUAGCUAGUUGGUAGGGUAACGGCCUACCAAGGCGAUUAUGCAUAGCCGAGUUGAGAGACUGAUCGGCCACAUUGGGACUGAGACACGGCCCAAACUCCUACGGGAGGCAGCAGCA